rnacentral:snRNA from 1 species
GUGUUAGUUCAUCUAACACACACACUAAAAUUGGAACGAUACAGAGAAGAUUGGCAUGGCCC